rnacentral:rRNA from 1 species
ACGGGGUGCAGCAGGCGCGAACACUUUACAAUGCGGGAAACCGCGAUAAGGGAACCCCGAGUGCCAGCAUCAAAUGUUGGCUGUCCAGAUGAUUAAAAAUCAUUUGUUAGCAAGGGCCGGGCAAGACCGGUGCCAGCCGCCGCGGUAACACCGGCGGCCCGAGUGGUAGCCGUUUUUAUUGGGUCUAAAGGGUCCGUAGCCGGCCUGAUAAGUCCUUUGGGAAAUCUGGCAGCUUAACUGUCAGGCUUCUAAGGGAUACCGUCAGGCUUGGGACCGGAAGAGGUAAGGGGUACUCCAGGGGUAGGAGUGAAAUCUUGUAAUCCCUGGGGGACCAUCUGUGGCGAAGGCGCCUUACCAGAACGGGUCCGACGGUGAGGGACGAAAGCUAGGGGAGCAAACCGGAUUAGAUACCCGGGUAGUCCUAGCUGUAAACGAUGCUCGCUAGGUGUCAGACACGGUGCGACCGUGUUUGGUGCCGCAGGGAAGCCGUUAAGCGAGCCACCUGGAAGUACGUCGCAAGGC